GCAGUCAUCACAUGGUAGAAGUCUGUUAAGGUGAUCAUUUUUUGUGUGUCAACAAGCCUCUCAGAAAGAUGAUAGAAGCAGAAGAGAGUGAGGGAAGGAAUAUAUAGGAAGGUUGAAGUGGCAGGUUUUGGAGAGUUUGAGUUGGAGUUGGUGGUGAUGAUGAUGAUUAUGAAGAUUGAAAAGAUUUUAUAUAGGGAUGUGGAAGAGCAUGUGGUUUUGGGGCAGUGAGUGAGUGAAUGGUGCUAAUGUGCAGCAGAGAAUACAGCAAAUAUUUUUUCAGCUUUGAGAGCUGCAAGCAAGGUUGCACUUGCAGUCUCCAAAGCACAAGGCAGAGUGGGGGGAGUUUUGUUGCCUUUUUAUUUAGUUUUUUUUUCGUAGUUUUGUUUUUUUUUUCUUUUUUUGAAGUGUGUUUGGAUUUGGGGUUUGGGAAGGGAUUUGAUGGCUUUGGAAACUUGGGUGGGUGGGUGUGUGAGGCUCUCUCCCUCCCUACCUUCUAUUCUAUGGGUCCUAAAUUUGUCACAAAAAGCUUAGGAAAAGUAUUUUGGGUUGAGGUGGGAAUGUCUCCAAGAACACUUGUUUUGGGGGAGUGCUUUAAGCUUUGUAAAGGGACUCUUUCUCUCUGGAUCCACGGUUUCUUUAUGAAGGGUUUUAAGAUAAAAAGAAACAUAUAUAGAAGAAAAAAAAUUGUGUUGUUUAAUCAUACUAGUUGAGCAUAAUAUGUCUGUUUGAAUAAUUAUGUCUAGUUCAAUAUUGUGUCUGUUGAAAGAUUCAAAUCUACUGGGUUUUUUUUUCCUUUGUUUUUCUAGUUAGCAAUAACAAAUAGAUUUGGAAUUUGAAAUUUGCGAUGUUGAAAUUUGGAAUUGAAAAAAAAUAGAUUUAACUUGCAUAUUUAUUAAAUAAGUUUAGUUUUG
rnacentral:lncRNA from 1 species